UCACCGGAUAGACCGGUUUUUGGAAAUCCGUGAGGAUUCGAGCUGAGUGAGCCAGGUUAGUUGUACCCUACUGAUGUACCGUCAUUGCAAUAGUAAUCCUGCUCAGUACGAGAGGAACCGCAGGUUCAGACAUUUGGUGCGUGUGCUUGGCUGAGGAGCCACUGGUGCGAAGCUACCAUCUGUGGGAUUAUGACUGAACGCCUCUAAGUCAGAAUCCCGCCCUAAACGUAACGAUACCGCAGCGCCGCGGGACUUUUAUUGGCCUGGGAUAGCCGGUCGACCCCCCGGGGCAGGCCGGUGUGGAGAGCCGUUUGGACUGGACCGGGGUGCGGCCGAACGAGUGCUGCCCCUCUCUGGAGAUGCACUGCAAGUUUGUGGAGAACCCGGUGCUAAAUGACUCGUAGACGACCUGAUUCUGGGUCAGGGUUUCGUGCGUGGCAGAGCAGCUCACUCGCUGCGAUCCAUUGAAAGUCAUCCCUCGAUCCAAGUUUUUGU